rnacentral:rRNA from 1 species
GAUGAACGCUAGCUACAGGCUUAACACAUGCAAGUCGAGGGGAAACGACAUCGAAGGCUUGCUUUUGAUGGGCGUCGACCCGCGCACGGGUGAGUAACGCGUAUACAACCUGCCCAUCACUUGAGGAUAACCUUGCGAAAGUAAGACUAAUACACAAUGAUAUCUCUAGAAGACAUCUGAAAGAGAGAAAAGAUUUAUCGGUGAUGGAUGGGGAUGCGUCUGAUUAGCUUGUUGGCGGGGUAACGGCCCACCAAGGCAACGAUCAGUAGGGGUUCGGAGAGGAAGCUCCCCCAGAAUUGAGCCAAGGCCCGGACCACUAUCCUACGGAAGACAGGAGAGUGGAAUAUAGGGGGCGGAGCGAGGACCUGAACCAGCCAAGUGGCGUACGAGAAGACGGGCGUAGGGGUUGUAAUCUGUUUUUAUAAGGGAACAAAGGGAGAGUCGUGACUCUUUUUGAAGGUACCUAAUGAAUAAGCACCGGCUAAUUCCGUG